GGUGGUCCCACCUGACCCCAUGCCGAACUCAGAAGUGAAACGCCGUAGCGCCGAUGGUAGUGUGGGGUCUCCCCAUGCGAGAGUAGGACACUGCCAGGC
rnacentral:rRNA from 1 species